rnacentral:rRNA from 1 species
GACGAACGCUGGCGGCGUGCUUAACACAUGCAAGUCGAGCGGAAAGGCCCUUUCGGGGGUACUCGAGCGGCGAACGGGUGAGUAACACGUGAGUAAUCUGCCCUGUGCUCUGGGAUAGCCACCGGAAACGGUGAUUAAUACCGGAUAUGACUGCUGCUCGCAUGGGUGGUGGUGGAAAGUUUUUUCGGCGCAGGAUGUGCUCGCGGCCUAUCAGCUUGUUGGUGAGGUAAUGGCUCACCAAGGCUAUGACGGGUAGCCGGCCUGAGAGGGUGACCGGCCACACUGGGACUGAGACACGGCCCAGACUCCUACGGGAGGCAGCAGUGGGGAAUAUUGGACAAUGGGCGGAAGCCUGAUCCAGCAACGCCGCGUGAGGGAUGACGGCCUUCGGGUUGUAAACCUCUUUCAGUACCGACGAAGCGCAAGUGACGGUACCUGCAGAAAAAGCACCGGCUAACUACGUGCCAGCCGCCGCUGUAACAC